CAGCUGGUUUGCCACCCAGCUGGGGGCGAGACUGGAUGUGGAAAAGAGGGAGAAUGAAGGUCUGAAGGUCACCCACCUGCUUCUCUGGCCAGUGUGGACCUGACGGGGUGGGGGUGGGUUCCAGGGAGCUGUGAGAGCUGGCAGCUGAGACAAAGACAUGGGGUGGUGAGGGAGGCUGCAGGAGAUCUGCUGACAAUGGGGGGCAGGGGCGCGCACUUGCAUUUUGUUCCGAACCUCCAUGUGAAGCCUUGACCCUUAGCCAGCGUCGUGGAGAGAUGGCAUGAUGUGUAUGAGAGAACUACCAGGUGUGGGGAAGCAGAGCUCUCUCUCUCAAGAGCAGCCAACCAGGAAGACAAAAACAGGCAGGAGACUGAGCAGCCGUGCAGCUAGUACGUGAAAGAAAGGGGUCCUGGAAACAGAACCGUUCACUGAAACAACAGAAGCAACCUGCAGCCCUAGAGACGGAUGUGGACAGCCUCUUGUCUGUCCACACCAUGCCCUGCUCAC